GAUGAACGCUGACAGAAUGCUUAACACAUGCAAGUCUACUUGAAUUUGGGUUUUUUAACUUAGAUUUGGGUGGCGGACGGGUGAGUAACGCGUAAAGAACUUGCCUCACAGCUAGGGACAACAUUUGGAAACGAAUGCUAAUACCUGAUAUUAUGGUUAUAAGGCAUCUUAGAAUUAUGAAAGCUAUAUGCGCUGUGAGAGAGCUUUGCGUCCCAUUAGCUAGUUGGAGAGGUAACGGCUCACCAAGGCGAUGAUGGGUAGCCGGCCUGAGAGGGUGAACGGCCACAAGGGGACUGAGACACGGCCCUUACUCCUACGGGAGGCAGCAGUGGGGAAUAUUGGACAAUGGACCAAGAGUCUGAUCCAGCAAUUCUGUGUGCACGAUGACGUUUUUCGGAAUGUAAAGUGCUUUCAGUUGGGAAGAAAAAAAUGACGGUACCAACAGAAGAAGUGACGGCUAAAUACGUG
rnacentral:rRNA from 1 species